rnacentral:rRNA from 1 species
GACGAACGCUGGCGGCGUGCCUAAUACAUGCAAGUCGAGCGAAUGGAUGGGAGCUUGCUCCCCGAAGUUAGCGGCGGACGGGUGAGUAACACGUGGGCAACCUGCCUGUAAGACUGGGAUAACUUCGGGAAACCGGAGCUAAUACCGGAUACAUUCUUUCUUCGCCCGAAGAAAGAUGGAAAGAUGGUUUCGGCUAUCACUUACAGAUGGGCCCGCGGCGCAUUAGCUAGUUGGUGAGGUACCGGCUCACCAAGGCAACGAGGCGUAGCCGACCUGAGAGGGUGAUCGGCCACACUGGGACUGAGACACGGCCCAGACUCCUACUGGAGGCAGCAGUAGGGAAUCUUCCGCAAUGGACGAAAGUCUGACGGAGCAACGCCGCGUGAGCGAAGAAGGCCUUCGGGUCGUAAAGCUCUGUUGUUAGGGAAGAACAAGUACCAGAGUAACUGCUGGUACCUUGACGGUACCUAACCAGAAAGCCACGGCUAACUACGUGCCAGCAGCCGCCGUAAGAC